UGCAAAUCUGCUCACUUACAAACCAAAGCAAGAAGAACCCAGCAGCCCGUGACGUCAGCGGGGGUCAGGGGUCAGUUUGAGUGACUUCCGUGCCCUCUUUGCGCUUGGUUUUUAUUUCCCUGACUUCUACAAAGGAGCUUUCCGUGAAUAAAGCAACGCAAAACAGGCGCAGGGGACCCUCAGCACCAACUGGCAGGAGUGGGGGCAGCACUGGCCCGGGGCUUCGCAGAGGUAGGAGCUGAGCCAAAGCAAAGCGCAGGGCGGGCCCGGCCCCGCCCGCCUCCCCGUGGCCUCCGCCAGGCCGCUGUGCCCGCAGCGCCCUCGCGUGCAGCCCCCGUUACCAAACACCACUGUCCACUCCCGGAGCUCCAGGGGAGCCGGACCGCCUUCGCACAGCCCAGCCUGGAACGCCGGUCCGCUCCUCGGCCCCAGGACGGCCCCCGCGGGGUCUGAGCUCCUGCACGGCCCACGGGCGGCUCCUGGAUGCCCGUCCAGGUCCCGACGCGGGCGCUUGGGAGCCUCAGAGCUCCGGACUCCGCGAGAGGCCGCCGCCCAGCUCCAGUGCGGCAGGAAGUGGAAGGCGCCAUGGCCUACCGGGCAGUCCUGGGGGACCUUAGGGGGCUGGGGGCAGCCUCUGGAAAGGGGCGGAGGCUAUAGUGCACCCCUUUGGGGGUUCAGCUACCUACAGAGUAAGGCCCGGCUUCCCACGCGUCCACCCUGGGAUCUUUGCACCAAUGUCCCCUUGCACACAUGCGUGCAGCUCCAGGCGGCGGAGCCCAGGGCCCCCACAGGCACACCUGACAGGAGGGGCAAAGGUGCUCCCGGGAGGGGCGACAUGGGGGCCCUGAGCAGCGAGUGGGUACACCCUGGGAGCUUGGGAAGACGUCCUUGGCAUGGCCACCUGAAUCAAGUCCCAGCUCCCGGCUCUGGGACCUUGGGUAAAAGGCGUAACCUGAUUGGGCCUCGGUGGCCUCGUCUGUGAGAUGGGUGUAAUCAUUAGAACCAUUGCUGAGUUGUCACAAGGAUGAAAUGACAAGACGCUCAGAGCUGGCCCCAGGCAGGACCAGUCUGUGCCUUUCUCCUGGAUGGCCUACUCCCGCUGCCCCUUCCUCCAGGAAGCCUUCCUUGAUCUGUUCUUCUUCCAAGCUCACAGAGCACUUGGCACCUGACAGAAACACCUGUUCCCAUCCUGGCAUUUAUGGGUUUGUUCUGCACUUUAUCAAGUGCUGCUCUGAGCUGGCUGCGAGCCCAGGGGCUGCCGUAGAGCUGCCCGCCCAGAUAGGAGCCCUUCUCUCCAUCCUCCCUUCAGCCUGUGCACUGACGGGCACACGGGGGAGGCCCAGAGCCCACCCCUCCUCCCCUCCCCAGGCCCUGUCUCCCAGCUUUAAAUAGCGUGUGAGGCCCAGAGAGGCUGAGCAUUAACGAGCCACUGAGUCAGAGCCAGUUUUCCAGUGCGCUGCGUUUCUGAUGAAUUAAUCAUUUGUGACAGCUCCAAACGCCGAUUCCACGCUCUCCUGGCGAGCUGGAGGUGCCCACUGGCUGUGCU
rnacentral:lncRNA from 1 species